UAAAACGAAUGAAAAAACGAGUCUGUGU
rnacentral:piRNA from 1 species